rnacentral:rRNA from 1 species
GACGAACGCUGGCGGCGUGCUUAACACAUGCAAGUCGAGCGGAGCGGCGAACGGGUGAGUAACGCGUGCGUAACUGCCCCCCUCUCUGGGAUAACAGUUGGAAACGGCUGCUAAUACCGGAUAGUGGGGGAUGACUCGCGUCUUAUCAGCUUGUGGGUGGGGUGGUGGCCUACCAAGGCGAAGACGGGUAGCCGGCCUGGGAGGGCGACCGGCCACAUUGGGCUGAGAUAGGGCCCAAACUCCAACGGGAGGCAGCAGGGGGGAAUGUUGCACAGUGGGGGAAACCGUGAUGCAGAGACGCCGCGUGCGGAAUGCCGGCUUUCGGGUUGUAAACCGCUUUCAGCCAUGACGCGGUAGUGGCAGAAGAAGCACCGGCUAACUACGUGCCAGCCGCCGCGGUAAUUC